GAUGAAGAACGCAGCGAAAUGCGAUAAGUAAUGUGAAUUGCAGAAUUCAGUGAAUCAUCGAAUCUUUGAACGCACAUUGCGCCCGCCAGCAGUCUGGCGGGCAUGCCUGUUCGAGCGUCAUUUCAACCCUCGACUUCCCUUUGGGGAAAUCGGCGUUGGGGACCGGCUGUAUACCGCCGGCCCCGAAAUGAAGUGGCGGCCCGUCCGCGGCGACCUCUGCGUAGUAAUCCAACUCGCACCGGAACCCCGACGUGGCCACGCCGUAAAACCCCCGACUUCUGAACGUUGACCUCGGAUCAGGUAGGAAUACCCGCUGAACUUAAGCAUAUCAAUAAGCGGAGGA
rnacentral:misc_RNA from 1 species